AGAGUGUAUCAUGACAAGGACAAAGAUUGUCUUGUGGAACAACUACUUCCAAUGCCUUAGAAUUCCUGCACACAAUCAAACCAAUCUGCUUAAAGACAAGCCUCUUGAGAUGUUGUCCACCAUAGUGUAUGUUAAUCAGGAACUCCAAGAAGAAAAUCCAUUUCCAUAACAGAGACAUUGAACAUACAGAUACAUACACAUGUGUACACCCCAUUCUGCUUUUGUUGUAGAGAUAUAAUUUUAGGACAAACUUUUGCUCUAUAGCGCUGUGCGUUUUUUAAUAUUAAUGUAUGUAUAUACGAGACUCUGAGUGAGAGUGUCUGCUAGGAGGUAAAGAGCUAUAGAUGGUUGAUAACUUUAAUUCUGCGUGCCAAGUUGUCCUAGAACUGUGUUUGAAAUAGCACCAUGAUAAGGUUUCAUGGCCAUAUAAUGGAUAAUUCUAAUUACCGUCAAUCAUAGCAAAGAAAGGCUCUUUCUCUUAGACAAUCUAUUUUGAACUUUUUAUGUUGAUGUGAGUUACUGUGCAAAGGAGCUUUUUCUGCUUAAUUGUCCACGAACACUGACUGUCUGAAAAAUGAGGUAUAUUUCUUUAUUUUUACAAAAUUAAACUCUACAUCUAGAUAUAACAA
rnacentral:lncRNA from 1 species